AGGAGCUUGCUUAUUUCCUAACUGGGCUCAGCAUCCUAGCCCUGGAGAGGUCUGAUGCGUCUAGGCAAACAGAGAGGAACGUACAAGGCAUCUCCCUCUGAUGCAGCCUUGCGUUCCUGGUACAAGUCUGAGAGAAACAAGCAACAACUGGGAAGGAUUCCUGACAGUCGCUGCCCCUUCAACCUUGAAAUUGCUCAGAGCCUCAGGGUAGGAACCGCAGAGAUAAAGCUGUCUGGAAACAGGAGCCAGCCCCUUGCAUGCCUGCCUGCUUAACCUUUUCCUAGUGUCUAAUUCUUUUCUCUCAGCUCCGUGUUUGUUUCUAGCUAACUGAUGGGGACAGACUCCGAAUGCAGCAUGGCGCCCGGUAAACGGAAAAACAGUGUAGCUCCAUACAGGUUGUCUUCAGGGCCCCGGUUGAUCCCACAGUGGAGCUACUGGGAUCCAUCAUCCAGGCAGCAUGCAGAUGGGGUAGAUUGAAACCUGGAUUUGACAAAGGCAUUCUCAGGAUAGCCUGGCAUCAAGAAGACACUGCUGCUAUCAUUUUGGAGUAUUAUAUAAAGGAAGAGCAUGAUAAGAAGUGGGCCCUGGCUAAUUUGACAAUCAUAUUCAUUUACAGGGGGCCCAGUCACUCUGGGUCCUGUUGAUCCUGGAAGCUUGUGGAACAUCCCAGCCAAUGUCACUGUCUCCUAGACCUUAGAUAGUGCCGUUCAGCACACAUCUGUCCCAGAGGGACAUCUUUACCCAGCUUGCCUGCUUGCUCAAGGUGCAUGCUGUGUUGGUCCUGUGUCCCCAGCCAGAUUGCAAGCAUGUUUUGUUUAUCCACCAAACCUAAGACAUGCAGAGAACAACAAAGUUUGGAGCUGUGACAAAAGGAUGGACCAUCUAGAGACUGCCAUAUCCGGGGAUCCAUCCCAUAAUCAGCUUCCAAACGCUGACACCAUUGCAUACACUAGCAAGAUUUUGCUGAAAGGACCCAGAUAUAGCCGUCUCUUGUGAGACUAUGCGGGGCCUAGCAAACACAGAAGUGGAUGCCCACAGUCAGCUAUUGGAUGGAUCACAGGGCCCCCAAUGGAGGAGCUAGAGAAAGUACCCAAGGAGCUAAAGGGAUCUGCAACCCUAUCAGUGGAACAACAUUAUGAACUAACCAGUACCCCUGAGCUCUUGACUCUAGCUGCAUAUAUAUCAAAAGAUGGCCUAGUCGGCCAUCACUGCAAAGAGAGACCCAUUGGACUUGCAAACUUUAUAUGCCCCAGUACAGUGGAACGCCAGGGCCAAAAAGUUGGAGUCGGUGGGUAGGAGAGUUGGGGGGAGGGUAUGGGGGACUUUUGGGAUAGCAUUGGAAAUGUAAAUGAGGAAAAUACCUAAUUAAAAAAAAAGACAUGCAGAGGACAUACUCAACAUAUAAAGCAGCAGGAAUGUCCCAGGGGAGGCACAAUAUCUCAAAUCCUUCUUUAUCUACCACGUCUACAGAGUCUGGUGCCCUCAGGACUGUGUGGAUGCAUGGGUCUGCACAAGCACACAGGAACAGAGAACAUCAUCCGGCAGAAGAGAAGCUUGGAACGUUGGAUAGAUAGUUCUAAAAAGAACAUCUUCUGUUUAUUCCUCUCAGUAUUUUGUACUUCCUAGAUUAUUUUUCCUUACCUUGAUAAAUAGUUGAUGCUGCAUUGUUAUAAAGACAACUGGAAAAGGGGCCCCCACCUCUCUUCUUCUCAGGCUUGGUAGGCGUGCAUUCUUGAGUCCACUUAGGAGUACUGCCUCACAUUCCACUUGUUUCUAUUCCCAAAAAGGAUCAGUUGGGUUUGAAACACAAAACUCAGGGUCUGUGUGUGUACAGGACUGGCGUUGUUUUUGUGCGAUGGCCCCAAAUACAGUGAAAGAUCUCAGCAGGAGGAGAUGAACCAAGUAGCCGGAGCAUCCCACUCACAGAGGGCCGGCCAGAGACAUGGGGACUUGUUGUAGCUGCUGUAGAUGUGCACAGAUGCUCAGUCAACAGUGGACUGGGCGACUUGGGGAGCCUCAGCAGGUGCUUCUAGAUAUACCUGUCUGCUUCUGCCCACAUUGCUACUUGACAGGAUGCCUUUGCCUUGCGGACACCUGGAGAGAAAGGUGGAACUGAACAGAAGACCUUGGGGUGGGGUCUACUGUGGCUGAUAUUCUACUUCUUAGAAAGAAAAUGGGAGGGAGGGAAGGAGGGAGGGAGACAUAGAUGGGAUGAUUAGUGCCACCUUCAUUCACACAGCAAAUAAUUUUUAUGAAGGUGAUAAGAGGAGCCUUAGGGAUAUUGUUCUGUUGUCUAAUGUUUUAUUCACAUAUAAUCCAAAUAUAAUAUUAAAUAUUACAUGUGCUUAUAUAUUCACAAUACACC
rnacentral:lncRNA from 1 species